rnacentral:rRNA from 1 species
CAGAUUCCUACGGGAGGCAGCAGUAGGGAAUCUUCGGCAAUGGACGGAAGUCUGACCGAGCAACGCCGCGUGAGUGAAGAAGGUUUUCGGAUCGUAAAGCUCUGUUGUAAGAGAAGAACGAGUGUGAGAGUGGAAAGUUCACACUGUGACGGUAUCUUACCAGAAAGGGACGGCUAACUACGUGCCAGCAGCCGCGGUAAUACGUAGGUCCCGAGCGUUGUCCGGAUUUAUUGGGCGUAAAGCGAGCGCAGGCGGUUAGAUAAGUCUGAAGUUAAAGGCUGUGGCUUAACCAUAGUACGCUUUGGAAACUGUUUAACUUGAGUGCAAGAGGGGAGAGUGGAAUUCCAUGUGUAGCGGUGAAAUGCGUAGAUAUAUGGAGGAACACC